rnacentral:pre_miRNA from 1 species
AGGCAGUGUGCUGUUAGCGGCUGCUGUGCUGAAUGGAGCAGUCACUACCACACUGCCAC